CUCGGGUCUAUCUAUUCUGUAACAUUACUCUGGCAAGGGAGUCAGUUUGACCCUGGAGCAUGGCCACUGUGCCUUGGAUGCUCAUCAAAUCUUGUUCAUUUGUAGAAUAAGGGGACAGGCCUUACUGGUUGUUUUCUCUUGUCUUGGGGUAAUCAUCCAUUGAGCUAAGGCGAAAACCACAUCUAGCAGGAGAGUAGGAAGCAAAACCCAAGUUGGACAAUACAAUAUCAAGCAUGUACACAAGCUGAAAUAGAAGGAUAAGCAGCCUGAAAAAGGCACAAAAAUCAAGGAGAGCAAUGCACUGAGGAUCUCCUCACAAUGACCAUGAGAAUUGAAGUCUGAACUCAAAUACAAAGGGACUCUUCUAGAAAUGUUUUGCUUGGUAAACAUCCAGUUGACCCACCUUAUGAUCAUGGACAACCAGAUACCUGUGUUCGCUCCUCUGCAGCUCACCCACCCUCACCACGGAGAUCCUUCCUAGCAGGUCCUCCAGGUGCCAAUCACUUGGCAAGGUGUGCACUUCCCGGUUCACGUUAAAGCUCUGCCAAGUGGAGUCAACACUCAGCGAUGCCCAGUUCACGUCAGCAGCCGUCUAAGAUGUGUCAGGCAGGCUCUUGAUACACUGGAACAAAACAAACUGUACUUUGCAUCCAAAAUAACUGGUCAUCGUAAUGCUGACAUGGAAUUUCCCUGAAUUUCACCCUAAUGGAAUUAGCCAAGCUGUAUCAUGCGAGAAAGCAUAGAAUAGGUACCUAUGUGGUGAUGUAACGUUAAAAAUUAAUUAU